rnacentral:ncRNA from 2 species
UGUAAAUUUUGGGAGUAGCUAUUGAGUUAGUUUGAGAAAAAUCCUUAGAACCUGAUUUGGUUAAUACCAACGUAGGAAAAAAAUUACUUAGAUUU